AACAGUACUGUCAAAUUAUUGCAGUUAACUGAUUCAGCAUACAUAUGGCACAGCUGCUCCCAAGAAUGAGUGCCUUUACUACUCACUGCAUUUGGAAAGUACUCAUUGCUCACUGCACUUGCAAAGCUAGCUACCAUGUGAUGGAGCUGCCAAGGUGUAUCCAUCAACCAUUGUGCUGAAUCCAUGGGAGUUCCAGUGCCCGUCAUUUAUUCCAGUACAGCAAUACACCGCCUUAUUAAGACGAGCUUCACUAAGCUGCGCAGUUUGUAAAAUUCUACAAAAUCCCAUACAACGGUUCCGAGUAAUCACCAAGAAUUUUUUACAUAGGGGUUACCGGAAUGUAAAAUCGUGUGUGAAACCCCCCAGGAAACAUUAUACAUCCAACAAUAUAUUCAGUCUCCCUCAAUUUCCGGAACCCAGAAUAGUAUACGGGUUUGCUAUUUCACAUCUAGAUAUGAGAUAUUAUCUCACAUCUAACUCCCUCAUUUUUAUUUUACAUCUAGAUGUGACAUAGACGGACCCAUAGGCGCGACACGCACAUAUUGCUAUCCAUCAGCGCCUCGUAUUGUUUCGCGUGUGUGCGUGAGUUUCCGGCGAGAGCAAUGGAUCAAGUACGUCUAGCUAGCUUCUACGUAAGCAAGUCUGCGUCAACUCCUCAGCUAGCUUGUGUCAUAUUCUCAAAAAAAACAAAACAAAAAAGCUAGCUCGUGUCAUCUCAACGAACAAGUCCUGGUACGUACAGUCUACCUACGGCCGGAAAAGUACUCGGCCAGUUCGACAACUGUGUGAUAGCUCUUGACAAGAGAUGCAUUUGCCGCUGAUGAAGUUGACCACCUCCAUGACUGCCUAGUCCAGCGCCAUCGUCAGCGAGAUCAGGUUUGGCAGAAACUCCUCGGCUUUCCAUUUUUCAACAAUAUCAGUCACAACUUCAAAAAUACCCUGCAGAUACAAGUGAUGGAUGGACUGCAGUAACAAAGCUGAGUUGCCUGUCAAAGGACGCCGCCUCCAAAACCUAGCCAGCCGCCGCCUCCAAAAAGUUAGGGUACUCUCCCUCCCGCUGGCGCCGGCGCCGGUCCGUUCCGUCUCCGGUGGCCUUAGGGCCAUGGGGGCGGAGUGGAUCUCACUCCUUGCCGGUGGGAGGGCUCUGGUUUUAGAUCUUUUUUCGAGCUUUGUUAGGGUAUGUGUCUUGUUCAGGAAGGCGAGACAGCGGCGGCUCCCUGAAGAUGGAAUAAAGGUCUCCUCGCCUAAUCCUCGUUCCGGUGAUGCGCAUAGCAUCAUCAGUGGGCGUGUGGAGGUGUGUCUCCGGCGUAUCUGUCUUUGGUGGAUUUGCUCGGAUAUGUUCGUCGUUCGUCUUCGUUCGUGUGUCUUCAGGUUGGAUCCUUUUGAUCUACACUCUUCAUUUGCGGCAGUUGUUGUUCUGGUGCGUUGGUUCUUUGGGGCCUUAACACGACGACUUCCCGACUGUCUACUACAACAAGGUUUGCCCGGCUCUGGCGAGGGAGGGGCGAUGACAGCGGCGUGCCUUCGGCUCGCUUCAGUGCUUGUAGUCGUCGCUAGGUGGUCUACGGAUCUCGAUGUAAUUUUUAUUAUUUCUAGUGUUCAUUGUACUACCAUGAUUGAAGAUGAAUAGAUUGAAAGUGUUUCCGAAAAAAAAACUGAGUUGCCUGUCACCAUACACACUGACUACCAGUACACAAAAAUGCCUAUGUUAAUGUUGAGAAUUACCACAAAGAACUAUAAAGAUCAGUAAAAUACACUACUAUGACUAACAAAAAUAUAGCUGCUUGCUGUCUGCGGAACAACUAGCAUGUGAUGGAACUGCCAAGGUGCAUCCAUUGGGAGUGGGGUGUCCUUUGAAGGCGAAGGACCCGGGGCAAAUUAAUGAGGAGCAAUGGGACAAUUUAGCACAGAAUUUUGUACAGAUCCCUCCACCUGGAUCUGCGUCCUUCAUUUCUAAUCCCACGGUCCAGGUUCGUUUUUUUCUAUUUUUGGACCUGAUGCUUACAUUCUAUUAUAGUUGCUCCCGGUUUUUCCCCUGGUCCUUCUCCUAGUGGCCACUAAUACCUGUUCUUUAAAAUAUAGCUGCCCCUUCUGUUUAGGUCAAGUGAUUGGUUUGGGCCAUGCCCAAAUAAUUAAAAAAACUAUAUACUCUUCCAACAAAAAAUAACCAUCUGUAACCCCUAAAAAACAAAACUAACAUUUGUAAAAAAAAAGAUCAACACGAUAAAAAUAUUUUUUUUAAAUGAUCAGAGUUUUACAUGUAUUCACACUUUGUUUGGUUUCAAAAAGUAUGUCCGCACUUUUUAAAAAGGUUAUAAAUUCCAAGAAGAAUUACUAAAAAAUCCAUUCAAAAAUGUACACCAAAAUAAAAAAUCCUUUUCAAAGAAAGUUCUUAAAAAAUGUCCUUCUUCAAACAAAUGCACUAAUUUUCAUAAAAACAAUAACUUGCUUGCAUACUGCCAUAGACCUGGUGGGUCUCGACUGUCCGCCUCUCCACGUAUAGUCCUCUCCAGAUUCCUCUCGUUUGUUCAGCAUGCUCACAACGGCAGACAUUGAGCCUAAGUGAUCUCUCAAACUUAUAAAGCUGAGUGAGAAUGGGAGGCGUCUGGAAGGGAAAACCCGUUGGGUAGCAAUUCAUAAGGAGGAACUGCAUCUAGAGAUGAAGGAAAAGCUUAAUGGAAUGACUUCUCAAUGUAUCAGUUUCCAGAUGCAUCUCAUCUUACGUAUGCAAAGUUCCAUGCCCAUCCUGCAAUGUUCUAUGCCCUACUAACUGCUUUUCCACACAGAUUAUUCUGACAUUAAAACUGAAAAAGUGCAUGUUUGAGUAUUCAAAUAUGGAAGAGUAAAAAUGAAAUACAGCUGUUUUUUGUGUGAAAAAAAUACAGCUGUUAAUUCCACUCAUCAGAAUGCUCAAAUUGUGUUUGUAUUUUCAUUCACUAUUUCAUGUAUUUGUACACUCUCCUAUAUCCAUGCCGGAAAUACAUGAAUUGUGGAACUUAUAUUUAAAAACUAACAACAACUCAGCAACCUCAAUUGCUGAUUUUCGUUGUGGUCAAGUUGCUGACAAGGUUCACUCCACAACAACAGUUCUGUGGAAUCGGCAGAGAUGCCCUACCAACAAGAUUUGUGGGUAGAUGAGGUUUCUGAUGAGUUUCGCACUCUCCCAGUCUCUCCAAUCAUAUGAAUCAAGAGUGCAUGUGUAUGAGACCUUUCCAUGUAAAAAUAGUUCUUGAAAUGAUUUGACAUAAAUAUUUCAUCAAACCCUGCAUGACUACCCAUUUAUAUACCACCAUAGGUUGGUUGUGUUCUGUCCAUGUUCCAAAAGUCAUUUCAGAACCUUUUUCUCUUAAGUUGUUGAUUAUUAUGGAAACAAUGCAAAAAAGAACUUGUAUAUGAACAAUGAUUGAGUGUGUUAGUAUCAUCCUUCAGCGCCUUCAAUUCCCACAGCUGUGAUGUUUUUAUAUAGUAUGCUAGCAACCACGAUGCAACAGGAAAAAAGGAAUGGAAAAGGAAAAAAUGUAUGGUAGGAUGCGGAGAGAGUGCCAAGGGGAGUGUGUGUCCAAGGAAGAGAGCGUGGACGGAGGCGGGGGGGAGAGCGUGUUGCCCUUGCCACCAAGCGUCAUGAUGGGGGGAGUGACCAUGAGAGUUUCUGAUGGAUCUUGGGGAGCAACCCGAGGGGCCUUUUCAUGUUGGUUCUAUCGACUUAGUGCACACAGAUGGAGAGUCUCUCUAGUCUAGCCGUAUGACUGUCUUGUAAUGCGGUAAAACCCACCACUGCUUCUAACUCCUGGCAGCUUCUAUCCACCAAAACCUAAACAGAAUUUGCCCAAAUAAAAUCGUAUGCACUCGUCCUUAGCCUAGAAGGAACUAGGGAGACUUGACGCUUUUUCAAUAAAUGGGAAAAAGAAUGGUUACAGGUCUAAGAAAACCAACCUUGAAUAGGGUAAACAAAAAAGCAACCAACGUCAAUGAUCCAAUGUUAUAAUUGAGGGUUAGAAGUAUAAACAUACGGCUAUUAUGUAUUGAUAUAACAACUAAAGAUAUUGAAAUGACUUUUGGAACAUGAACAUACGGCUUAAACCACAAUGCUUGCCAUCCCAAGCCUCCCCUACAUCGUACUCUAUAAACCACGUGAGGGUCCAUAUUCAGGCUUUCCAUAAUUUUUCAGAAUUUUUUGGGAUGAAAGUUAUGAUUUUUCACAUUACGGGUAAUGUGAUUAGACAAAAGCAAUUUGAGGGGAGCUAAGCAAGAUUAAGUUUGGCAUGACUUGCACCAGUUCCUUCUUGAUAGUACUACUGACGUAUGAAAAUUGUUGCCACACAUUUUUCUAGAGCCGUGGAGCGAAGGACAACAUUGCGCUGAAGGCGAUUUAGGAAUCUCUUAGAGUCUCCAUGCAGCUAUCAUGCAGCAAAAAACCUUAUAAUUAAGCUUGACACUGCGUUUAUAAUUCGCUUUAAGUUUUUCUUUGACUUUAAUCUUUCCUAGGCUGAUAAAAUUGGCAUGAAUGGCUGUAAGACUACUGUAUGUUCGUUGGGGGAUUUAUUGAUGUUAAAUGUGGGGAUCCCAGUGCCUUUCAUCGAAAAAUGAUUACACCGUAGCAGAGUAAUGGAGGCAUGCCAGCUCAUGGAGGACAGCGAGGUAUGCCUUGCGACAGGGGUGCAGGGCGGCGCCCGAUCCGCCCCGCUUCGUAUGCAAAAUAGGUUUUGGUUAGUUAUAAAUACCCCUCUCAGAUUUAGUUCAAUUUGAACUAAUCCUCUAUUUAUGCGGGACUAUGCGGGACGCCCACUUGCAUCUCUACCUUGCGACCAAAGGAGUAUGCGGCCAACCUUAAAAAUUGUACUGAGCACCUGCUUGUCCCGUGGUUGGCACAUCUAGUUUGUGAUCAGGCUGCUAAACAGAAUGAUGGACGUCCAUGCGAGAAAUCAUACACACUUUUGUAGGCGUGCAUUUCUUCUGUCACAGUGGGUAACACACUGAGACAGCAAUCUACUACACGUUGACGAGUUCCGCGGCAAUGAGGGCCUUGGUAAUUUCUGAUACGCCCACCUGUACGAGCUGGCUGUGGGCACUGUGGGUCUGUGACAAGUGGCAAGGUCCCAUGGUGAAUGAGGUUAAGAAAUACAAGAUGAUCUUCAAUUUCUAAAAAAAUUCUUCCCUAUGUCUCUCAUUCUCAAGCACCUCUAUCUUUUUUUUUGUUAUAUUGUUUCCUUUAUUUUUUGUGGAUGAGACAUGCAUCAACUGACUCAUGAAGCAUGGAGGGAACACAAAAGAUCAGGGGUGCUAUAUAAAUCCUAUCGUUGUUGAUGUCUCAAUUCUAUUUCCAAUGGCAAUUUUGCAAGGUAAGACUUUCAUAGUUACUGACCAUCUCCCAUCCGCUGAAUGUGAUUGAAUGACAUGUGUGUGCGCUCACGUGCACACAUACAAAGUGGAAGAGAGAGUGUGUGCGUCAGAGAGAGGAAGGUGAUUGUCAUUGAGUGGUCGUAAUUUGCUUGUACCUUUUUUCCCAGAUGAACAAACACUAUUUUUUAUUAGAGUUCUAGUAAAACGGCCCAUGCGUUGCAACAGAAAAAAAAAUCAAUAGCCAUGACCACGUUUUGCUGCAUCAUCGAGAUACACUAUCACUCUCAUUUUCGUGAAAUCGUGAACAUUUUUUUAAACUGACAAACAUAUCUGAAAUCAUGAACAUUUUACAAAUUUGUGACAUUUUUACUGAGUUUUGAACAUUUUCUAAAAUCAUGAAAAAAUUGAAUUCACAAACAUUUCAUACUAUUGGAAAAACAAUUUAAAAAAUUGUGAACAUUUUUUAAAGCAUUUUUCUUAAAUAUGCGAACAUUUCUAGAAUCGACAAACUUUUUUUUGGAAAUUGUUGGAACAAUUAUUAAAAAUCAUUUUUUUUAUAAGGAACAUUUUUUGAAAUGCAUGAUCAUUUUUUGAAUCUGCAAACAUUUUAUGAAUCAAUAAACAAAUUUGGAAAUCAUAAACAGUUUUGGAUUUUUUUUGGAUAAUUUCCAAUUCAAGAACAUUUUUUGAAUUGGCAAAAUUUUGUUCAAUUUCAUUAAUAUUUUUUAAUACACGAACUUUUAUAAAAAACAUGAACAUUUUUUGAUUUCCGCAACAUUUGUAUUAAAAAUUGCGUACAUUUUCUGAAUAUGCAAACAUUUCUGAAAAUCGUGAAUAUUUUCUAGGUAGACAAACAUUUAUGAAUUAUUAAAUAUUUUAUUUCAAAAUUUAUAUAUGUUUAAUUUUCGAAAUUUUUUUGAAGUCCCAAAUUAUUUCAAGUAGAAAAACGAAGAUGGAAAACAAAAAUGAAAAAUAAAAAAUGUAAUUUAAAAAACAGGCCGUUGUACAUGGGCCUGCCAAAACAGGCGCGUUGUGUCUUCUCCCACUGUGCAGAGCGCUGUAUAGAAGGCUCCUACUGCAUAGGUCGGCCCAGGAAGGGUUCCAGACUUUUUUUUUAUCACAUAUGGAUGGCAUUGUUGAGCAAUAUUCUGCAACUUUGGGAGCAAUUUCGAUGACAUACCGCCAGAAGCAAUAGCCCCUUUAUUAUUAGGUAUAGAUUAAUUAGUAGCAUGUACUGUUGACGUAUAAAUGUAUUGCCUAAUCUCUUCCGUCAGAUCGGUCUUUUGAUUGCAUUGGCUAGAGCAUGCAUCCAGUGGGUGCAAUUAAAUUGCAGCUUACUUCGGUCCACGUUAAGGCCUGAGGGAGUCAUACGUGAGGGAGAGUGUUGACGUAUAAAUGUUUCCACUAGAAACUGGUGUGAGAGGGAAAGAUGCUGAAACGAUCGAUCAAGCAUGAAAAGGAUGUACUCCAUCUGUCGUAAUUUACAAAGAGUUAGUUGUGCAGGGUACAGUUACUUACAUUAUCCAUCUUACAUAAGUAUCAAAAGUAUAUUUUCGCUUUCACAUUGAGUGGUCUUCAUUAAUAAUGGGUGUCCCCGAACAUGUCAUUCGAGCAAAUAUGAGACACACACACACACACACACACACACACACACACAGAGAGAGAGAGAGAGAGAGAGAGAGAGAGAGAGAGAGAGAGAGAGAGAGAGCCUUGCCAUAAACAGAAACUUGAUGACCGCGCAAAUCAGCGAUUGAGGAUUGCUGAGUCAGUGUGAGUAUUUAAACAUGACUUUCAACAUUCCAAUAUUUUAGGCUUCGAUAUAAGAGAGUGACUAAAAUAGUUCAAAGAUCGAAGGAGUAUAGAAACCAGAGUUGGAGCAUUUUGAUGUGAGGAACUAACCCGCAAAAGAAAUGAUAUGAGGAACUAACUACAAUAUGUAUGUGUUAAUAUCCUAGAGACGCAAAUUUCAUGUGAUGCUAAUCUGUGUGGCAGAGUGUUUAGCCUGAAAUAGAAUAUACUGAAGUAUGGGCAUAUAGCUUAUCAUACAUAAAAUGAGAUGCAUCUCAAAGCAGUUCACUAUUUAUUCGGGAAAACAAGACGCACUAUAGAAUCCAACAUGUCGACAGGUGAGCUACAUCAACAGAGAAUGCCCAAGAACUAAUCAGUAGGACCAUGCAUAUGCCAUGAUCGCCUAGGCGACAAUGAGAGUGGACAUGGUGAGGAGUAGAACAUCGACUUGCCCUUGACAAGUUGUUCCAUUGCUGACAUGCUCCUGGGUCGUUGGGCCAUGGCUUGCCAUCUCAACAAGGGUCUCAACCGUAAGAGACUGUGCAUCAAGCUUGGUGCGGAUGUCGUAGCCACUUGGCAUGUUGUCAUGCAGUAUUCAAAGCUUUUGAAAAGAAGGUGACUACAUAGAGGAUGAUGGUGGAGGUAAAAAUGGUGCUUGUGCCUGGCCCCGGCCAAUCAACCAGAGAAUCAUCUGCAGCUGGAUGGAGGCUUACCUAGUAGGCUACAAGGCACAGUUACCAGAGACGCAAAGCAUUGCCCAAGAAGAGCACAAAUAAGGCCGGACCGAUCAAAUGUAGAAGUCACUCCGGUUGGCACCCAUUUCAUCAUAAACCUCCUAUUUGACUCCUAUAUGCGUCAAGUAGGUUAGGGCACAACCUGAUGAAAGGUGUAAAUGUGCAAGCUUACUUGAGCAGUGUUUUCCUUUGUCUUUUUUGUUUCAAUUUUGUUCUUUUGGAAAAGAGGUUGUUGGAUUUUGUUUAUGGAGCUGAAUUACACAUAUAAUCCUAUUAAAGACAUUUUAUUUAAAAAAAACUCAAUGUGUAUAUAAAAAAUAUCAUCGCAUACUACAAAAUGCCCACCAAUAUGGAAAUAUGAACAAUAUAUUAAAAGAAUGUUCAUCGUAUAAGAAAAAACUUAUUGUGCAUUUGAGAGUUUUUUCACCGUAUAUUAGAAAUGUUUACAAUAUACUCCCUCCAUUCCAAACUACAAGGUGUAUCAAUUUUCGUGCAACUCCAUCAUGUGCAUGUUUGACCAAGAUUAUAGAAUAAAAUAUCAACAUCUACAAUACACAAUAAAUAAAAUUUGAAAAUAUUUUUCAUGGUGGGUCUAAUGAAAAAAAUUGAUAUUGUAGAUACUGAUGCUUUUUUCUAACACUUGGUCAAACAUGGACAUGUUUGACUAUUGAGAAAACUAAUACAACUUAUAUUUUGGAACAAAGGGAGUAUAAACUAUAGAAAAGAAAAGGCCCGGAAGAAAAAACAAGGGACAAAUCAAAUCCCUAAGAAAAAGGAAAAGAGGUGGAAAAAAUGAAAGGAAAAUCAUAAAGCAAAAACAGGAUGAAAAAAAUAGAAAACCAAAAAGAACAACACAAGAGAAAAGAAAAUGAAAAACUACAGUAGCUGCGUAGUAAUCAUAUUGCAGUGCAAAAAUACACCACUGGGUCGGCCCAACUCAACUCUAACAGAGGUAUGGCCUCACCUAGGUGUCGCUAAUGGGUUAGAGCCAGUUUGGUUUGCGUCCUCACCACCGUGCCUGGAGAAAAUCCGUGCCUGAGUUGCGCCUGAAUUUUUUUUGUUUUGUGCCUGGGCAGGCUAGCCUAGGAGAGGUCCGUUUGGUUGACAGCCUGGACUGAAAAAGUACAAGAAAUAUUUUGUUUAGUGUUAAUAAUCUGUACUGGUAUGGAGCCCACCAACCCAGCCAAAUUUUUUAGUAUUGAUCCACAUCCAGGCAUGCACCAGGCAUCCGAAAGAGAUAGCCUGGCGCAGGCUAACGAUGGUACCACAGUUAACCCUAGGCUAAUGAUGAUUCCAGGCUUGCUCGGCCAGUCACUCGUUCGAUUGUUCAGAACGCGAUCCAAACGGAUGCCAGGCAGGUUCUAGGGAAACUUCAUGGAAUUUGAAAACAGUUCAUGCAAUUAGGUAAAAAAAGAAAAAGAAAAAAUAUUAAAUAAAGAGGAACAAGUCAAAAAAGAAAGAAAAAGAAACAUAGCUCCCUAUUUAUAGCUAACUGAAGGAAGAAUAAAAUUAAAAAAUAAUUUAUUAAGCACGAGCCUGAAGGUGUGGUAGUGGUUUCUGCGGUUCUGUGUAAAUCGAGACACCUCAAGUUAGACCCUUUCGUCUGCACCUUUUUUGAACCAUAGCAAGAAAGAAAAAAGGUUAAUGGGCGGGCCCAACUCGGACGGGGUGUGUAUCGGCUACCGAAAAGACCUUUAGCCACCGCUGGAGGCAUCAAAUAGCGAAAUCACUAAUUAAGGAGUACUCAUUGCGAAGAUCACUCCUACCUUUUCAAGUGGCGAGAAGUGAUGCGCUGCAUUCGCGCCACUUGUCGUAACCUGCGAGUUUUCUCUUUUUCGUAGAACCGUUUAUUCAAAACGUUUUAUCUCUUAAACCGUGCGUUCAAAUUUUGAACCGUUUUCACCGUUGGAUUCCAUGCGUCGAGAACUUUAAAACUAGAUCCCAUGUUGAAAGGUUUCGGCAAACUUUUUUUUCAUGAAAAAAACGGACGAAAAAACCGGGCCGGAUGCACUGGUUUUUUUCCUUUCCGAAAUAGGCACGCCCGUGCCUCUCGCAAAAUCACAACCGUGCUUCUAGUGGAAACAAAACCGUGCCUCUCGCGGAAGUAAAAAGAAAAAAGGAAAUCCGUUUUUGAGGAGGCACGGCCGUGCCUCUUGCAAAAACACAACCAUGCCUCUCGCGAAAGCAAAAUCAUGCCUCUCACGAAAGAAAAGAAAAAGACAAAACCGUGCUUCUCGUUUUCCGUUUUCCGUUUUUCGUUUCCGAGAGGCACUGCCGUGCUUCUCGCGGAAGCAAAACCGUGCCUCUCUCGGAAAGAAAAAAACAGAAAACGCGUUUUUUUCUGUUUCCGAGAGGCGCUCGCGAAAGCACAACGUGCCACUCGCGGAAGAAAAAAUGUGCCUCUCGCGAAAAAAAUAGAAAACACGUUUUUUUUUUGUUUCCGGGAGGCACGGCCGUGACUCUCGCGAAAGCAAAACCGUGCCUCUCACGAAAGCAAAUCCGUGAGUCUCGCGAAAAAAAACACGUUUUUUAACGCAAAAAAAGAAAAAAAUUGAAAAAAAAUUGUCCAAAAGUUAAGGAAGACCGGUGGAAAACCGAAACGUCAAAAAAACUAAAAAAACCAUUUAAAAAAUGGAAACCGCGUGUGAAAAAAUAAAAAAUAAAAAUAAAAUCCGAAGGAAGCGCCGAAAGCGCGACACGUGGCAGACGGGCUAAGAGCGCGUAAAGUGACGCUGAUCGUUGCGAGGCUCGCGAAGAAGCACUCGUCAACUAGUUGCUCUCAUCAAAUAGAGUUUGCCCUAAUGGGCGUCAACUAGGAUUUGCCAUUCAUCGGCAGAAUUCAAGGACCAACCACCACAGCCUUGGCGCAGAUUCUGGAGGAUUUUUUAUGCACAUAUCUUCUGCUAGUGUGAUAGGGCUUCACGUCGAUCACCUCGAUUGUGAAAGGAUCUGCUAUACAUUUUAAUUAUAGUUUGUUAAUAAAUAAUAUUUUUAUUAACAAACUAUAAUAUGUUUGUUUAUAGAGGAAGUACAAAAGAACAAAGAAGAUCUAAUAAAAACAUAUUUUGUCUACAAGUAGUUGUUACUUUCUAUUAUAGUUUGUUACCAAAAUAUAUUGGCUACAAGAACAAGGUAGAUCUAACAAAGAACAAGUAAAAUGUAGAGGGAGCACAAACUGAUUAACAAAAUACUCCCUCCGUUCCAAAUAACGGUCUCAACUUUAUACUAGCUCUACUACAAAGUUGUACUAAACUUGACACACUUAUUUUGGAGGGAGUAUAAUAUAUAUUCUUAAAGAGGGUGUACAAAAGAACAAAGAAGAUCGAAUAAAAACUUUUUUUGUCUCGGAAUGAGGUCUUUAAAAAAAAGAUAACCCCGGCCUCUGCAUCAAGACGAUGCAUGCAGCCAUAUAUUAUUAAUAGAGCAAAAUCCAGCAGCCGAAUACCAUCGACCCGGAAAAAAGAUAAAACAAACCAUGAGGCCAUAUACCUCGCGACAGUAACUCCCCCAGAUAACCACUAACCCUAUGAUACAAGACACGACAUAAAAGAAAAAUACACAACUCCUAGACUAUCCCUUCAUGAAGGAAUCACCACACGUGUGCCGAUGAUGGCGAGUCCAUCACAAGGUUGAACUUCAUAUUCUCAUUCCCAAAGCAAAGCUUUAAUCCAUCACUUUUCGCAAGGACACGACACAGGCGCGCGAUCACAUAGCCCGAUCAGUGAUAUUGUGUUUCCACCGAAGUGCAUAAGCUCGUAGUUGAAUUUGUCUGUACCAUCCGCCUUUAUCCGUCUACUGACUCCUCGAUAGCUGGAUACCUCUAGAGGAGACAACGGAAGACAAAGACGUCCCAUAUCGCUUGCCUCCCGCUACUGUCGCACCACCUUUGAUCCAAUAACAACAGGAUAAACUUGACACCUCCACCAGAGCCGCCGUGCAUCACCUGCCGGUAGAAGGCAUGACUUGACACCUCCAUAUAAGAAGUCGUACGUAGUAUCCACCGGUAGCACAUCCACCGGUGGCUUCACCUGCCGACAAUAGGCAUUGCCCGACAACUCCGAGAGAGGGUCAUGUGUCACCUGCCGAGCCGCAUCGAACCCGAUUUGUUGAUGGAGGGGACGUCCCAUACCGUCACCAGCCUUAGAAGGCUGUCACCAUCUUGCGAUCCGAACUCUGAGUCGCCCACGCGACCCCGGAGUCCGCCGCUGUUGAUGAAGAGGGGCCGCGACCCCGAUUCUGAGCGCUAGAGGGAGCACCCACCGUCGCGCCAGCCACUUUCGUCGCCCAUACAACGGCAACCGUCGCCGCGAUCCCGCACCAAGCGUCGUCGACGCCGGCGGAAGCUCCGGCCGCCACGCGCGUCCUGCGACGAGACCGGACACGGGAUCCCAAUAUCCGCCGCCACCGGCGCCGCCACAAGGACCCAACACCUGGCCCGUCAUCCUCGAUGGAGGGGACGCCGCCACCACCAUGGUCAGGUCCGGUUCAGUCGUCGCCAUCGCCACCGCCAAGACCGGUCCGGGCUGGAUGCCGCUGCCGCCACCGCCAUCGGCCACGCCCAGCCCCACCUCCAUCUUCUAGCCCCGUACAGCCGACCUGCAUGCCACGACCAACUGAUGCACCAGCGCCGCCAAGUGCCUCCGCCGUGCCAUGGAUCCGCAAGACGCCGUUGCUGAAACUGUCGUCCCGCGCCGCCUGGUAUCGUGCGAGGAGAAGGGGAUCCCCGCUGCCGCCUACGCCGAUCGGAUCAGCGGCGCAUGCCGGCGGCGGCGACUGAGGGAGGGAGAGGCGCGGACUAGGAGCGGCGGCUCGGGUUCGCCACCUCGGUCGCUCGCGGGAGGUCUACAAAUGAUUGUUCAUUAAUCAGGUAGAAGAGAAAAUUGCAAUAUUGCGGGUAGAAAAGAACUGAGUCCAAACAAACAGUACACUAGAAUUAUUGUAGUUAACUCAUUCAGCAUACAUAUGGCACAACUGCUCCCAAAAAUGAGUGCCUUUACUAAUCACUGGAUUUGGAAAGUAUUCAUUGCUCAUUGCACUUGCAAAGCUAGCUACCACGUGAUGGAGCUGCCAAGGUGCAUCCAUCAACCAUUGUUUUGAAUCCAUGGGAGUUCCAGUGCCCAUCAUUUAUUCCAGUAUAACAAUAGACCACCUUAUUAAGCCGAGCUUCACUAAGCUGCACAGUUCUGCAGUCUGAACACCACCUUAUUCCCCUAUAUGGCGCCAGUCACCAGCUCAAAGACGCAGGUGUCAUGGACAUGGAACCGGUUGUCAACAACAAAGUCUAUCAACGUGUUAACAUGCAGGUUGUGCAUGUGGUCGGCUUCUGGCUAAGCAUUUCAUUUCCCAUGUCUCCUAUUCUCAAGCUAACCUCCGUUCCCCUUUUCUUGUCCUUGUUGCUUUUGCUAACACUUGGUAUGUGAGAUCAAGGUGCUGAGCUUGAAGCACGGAGAGAACACUCAAUUGGCAGUCUUAUAUAAAGUUGUUGUUUUCUUGCAUUGUUUCUGCCGAACAAUUGGUGUAUGGGAGAAAGUGGAAAGUGGUUAAAUAACCCGCGGAGCAUGGAGAGAACAGACUCAACCGGUUGUAUAUAAAUUGCUCUUUUCUGCCAUUUUGGGCGUCUUUGUUUGUUGAAAAUGUUUAUCUGCAGUCAAUUGCACUAGAUAUUUUUGCACGCAAAGACCUUCGUACAGAUAAUAACGUGCCCACAUGCCAUCGGCAGAACUGACGAAAAGUCUAUGCCUGGUCUUGAGCAAAUAACUAUCCACGAAUAGAAAUGAGGAAUGAUUAUUUCUACACCAAAUUACAAGAAGACAUAGAUCUAGCCAAUGAAAUGCAAGCUAAUAAUAAUAUGGUGGUCGAUGUCUUACAAACAAGACACGCGUACAUUGAAUGAAUCUACAUACACCAGCAACAAGUGCAGCCAGCUCUCACUAUCGAUGACUAGUCCAAGAUGAUGAUGGCCUCGUCGGCGGUGUCUCCUUUGGUGGCGAGAUCCUCGGGCUCCGGCAGGCCACCGCGUCGAAGCACCUGCACCUCCAGCACCACCUCCCUUUUGCCGCCAUCUCCAGCAUACCCGGACACCAGCUCGAACACACACGCAUCGCCGACCUGCAGCCGGUUGUGGACGGCGAAGUGCUCCCAGCCCUGGUCGAGCCUCUUCAGCUUGGUGUCACCGCAGUAGCUCAUGAUCCACGAGCUCCCGCGGCACCGGAGCACCACCGCCGCGCGCCUUGCCGGCAGCCGGCGCUGGAAGUGGGUCGGGAUGAUCUGCACGGUCCGGCGCAUGCAAGAAGCAGAGAAGAUCAGGGCAUGACCAAUUGAUUAUGAAGCUAACCGCCAUUGUUGCCUGCUACGAGCGUAUGGGAACGUCACGUUGCAGCGCCGUAUCAUACCAGCAGAUAGGGCUUCUGGACGUGCGUCUUGCACAUGACGGCGGUGAAGAAUGGCCGGUCACCGGAGAGUGGGGUGGUCUCAUCAUCCUCGCUAGCACGCUGCUGCAAGACCAAUUUUUGCACAGAAAAAAAUAUGUUCUUAAGCAAAAAACUGUGAAAAUCAAAAUAUUAUAAGUAUAUCCCAACGAGGGACAAGGGAAGGGGAAAAUAAAACUGAGGGAGCAAAAUAUAAUUCAGGGUGUGGGGGAGCAGAUCACCAUGACUACCAGAGAAGAAGAAGCCACUUUACUUGGAUGCUCCACUGCUCAUUGUGGAGCGACUGUGCAGCCAACUUUAAGGCUUCUGAACCAACCAACCAACCAGCAGUACUAUGGAAUUAAAGCAAAUUAACCGAUUUAGCACACAUAUAGACAUAUAGUACAGCUGCUCCAAACAUAGGCAAGUAUUCACUGCACUGCAUUUCGUAGCUAGCAUGUGAUGGAGCUGCCAAGGUGCAUCCAUCACUCCUAGAGUUAUUUUUGCUGUGCUGAAUCCAUGGGAGUUUCAGAGAGCAUCAUUUAUAUUUUAGUUUGCCAAUACAACAUCUCAUAGGAGCUUCACUAACGCUGCUCAUUUUUGCAAAAUAUUCUUAUACAAAAUCGCAUACAUUGGCGCCAAGUAAUUACCAUGGACUUCUUUUACUUACGAGGUUACAACAAUCUAAGAUCGUGUACGGAAUACACCCCCGCAAAAUAUUAUAUAUCCAACAAUUUGUAUAUCCCAUGUUACGUUCAUUUGUGGAAUGCCAGAUUGUUAGGAUCUCAGAUAUCAGAGAUGUCGUUGCCGCUCCCUGGAAAGGCAAAUGAGAAAUUGGAAAACAGAUUCGAGAUCUACAGUUUGUCGCACGCAUGUGAAAAGAGAAGGAUGCAUAACACAAUCUAGAACGCAAGAGUAACUGGUUACCAGUGUGCAUAAAUCAACAUAUUCUCAUUGUUUAUCCAUUUAAUUCCAACUAAAUUAUCAGCAACUACAUCAACCGCGUUGUCAAACGCUUCCUCUUUCGGUCUACGAGGGUACGUGGACACACUCUUCCCCUCUCGUUGCUAUGCAUCUCCUAGAUAGAUCUUGCGUAAGUGUAGGAAUUUUUUAAAAAAUUGCAUGCUACGUUUCCCAACAAAAAGAAUGAACUACAAAACUUUUAUAAAACUCUAAUAGCAAAAAGAAUGAACUAAAAAUAAUCAAUUAAAAUAUUCUGUUAUGAUCAACUAAAAUAAAACUAUAGUAUUCUUCCAUAGCAAAAAGAAUCAACUAAAAAGCUUUUAUAAAAUUCUAAUAGCAAAAGGAAUCAACUAAAAAGAAUCGAUAAAAACUAAAAUUUAUGCAACUGAAAUUAUAUAAAAUUUUAUGCAACUAAAAAGAAUCAAUUUUUUUGUUAUGAUCAACUAAAACAAAACUAUAAUAUUCUUCAACAUCAUAAAGAAUCAACUAAAAAGCUUUUAUAAACCUCUAGUAUUUUGAAACUAAAAUUAUAUAAAACUUAUGCAACUAAAAUUAUCAAAAUAUUUUUUUCAAAACAUUAAUAGCAAAAAAAAAUUUCAUAAAGAAUUAUUUUUGUUAGAAACUUUAAUAGCAAACUAAAAUAACAAAAUCUGUUUUUGAUUAAAACAUACAUUUAAAAUGACCUAAAAAUUACCAAAUUGAAUAUAAUGAUAAAACCCCUGUUCAAGAAUUCAUCUGAUUAACCAGUUAACUUGCCGAUUAAUCCCUACUCAUAGGGUCCCCGAGUAGUCGAUUACCCGAUAAAUCAUCUGAUUAAUUGAUUAAAUGGCCAAUUAACUUGCCUAUUAGCCUAUUAAUCCCCUACUCACCAGCCGACCGAGCAGCUACCAGUUAAUGAUUUCCUCAAGAAUGGAUAAAACACAGUAAUAUUAAAUAGCAGGAAAAAGAAUCACUCAAAAAUCUAUUUUUAUAGUAAAGUUAUUCACAAACUAGUGAUUUCACACAAAUUUCAAAGAAAUCAAAUUUAAACUAUUCAAAUUUGAAAACUAAUGGCACUAACAGAAAGUUUAUAAUUUCUGUGACCUAAAGCAAAAAGAAUCACUGAAAACUGUAAGUAGAAACAAAAGAAAAUAAAUAAAGCAAAAAACAAAAAUACUAGAAAAAAAUAAAAAAAAUGCCACCUAUUGGGCCACCACGACCUGAAUACGACUAAAAACCCCAACCAGCUAGUUUGGCUAGGAUUCAGGCCCGCAGCAGGCCCAGUAGGCCCACAAGCAGAGAGACAGGUUUAGGCCUGUAGGCCUGCAAUAGAGAGGAGUUCCAAAGGGGAGGCGCAGCAACGCUUAUAAACAACUAUCUGUGCCUCUCAGCUAGGGAGGUGGGACUAAACAUCCACCCGCCUGAUGCCGUGCCAGCCGUAGCCCUUUCGUCUCGGUUGGUGGCACCAACCGAGACCAAUGCCCACCUUUGGUCAUGGUUGGUGGCACAAACCGGGACCAAUGCACCCCUUUAGUCUCGGUUCGUGCCACCAACCGAGACAAAAGGUCAGUUUUCGUCAACCCAAAGGGCGGAAAGCAGAGACCUUUUGUCCCGGUUGGUGGCACAAACCGGGACCAAAGGUGGGCAUUGGUCCCGGUUGGUGCCACCAACCGGGACCAAAGGUGGGAAUUGCUUCUGGUUGGUGCCACCAACCGGGACGAAAGGGGGGUGUUGCCGCGGCCAAAACUUUAGUCCCACCUUGCUAGUUGAGAGGGGUUCGGAGUGGUUUAUUAGCGCCGCUACCACUGCCCUCUCGAGCACCUCUCUAAUGCAGGCAUACGUCAAGGUGGCAAUGGGAACGGGGAUGAGCAGGGAUGACUCCACCAUCCCUGCCAAUCCCCAUACCCGCGAUCCCUGUGAAGCUUCGCGGGGACAAAACACCCCCCAUCCCUGUUAAUGUCGAGUAUCCGGUACCUGUCGGGUAUCCAUGGGGAUUUCAAAGCUGACUGGGAUAGGUGAGAUUGGAGAAGACAUGGUUGUUGGGAGGGGUGGAGAAAAAUAAUUAUGUGAAAUAUCUAGGUAUUAAUCUAUAUAUUCUGCAUUUGUAGUACAUAUGGCAUAGUUUUCGGGUAUCCAUGGAGUCCCCACGGGGGGAAUGUUAUACCCAUCCCCGCCCCGCGAGACUAACAGGUACCCACUAGACAAUACCCAUGGGGCUAAUCUGCCCCCAACCCCACUCCAUGACGGGUAAAUCCCCGCGGGUACCCGUCCCCACGGGGAAUAUUGCCAUCUUGAGGCCUACGGGCCUAAACUAUGGGCCGAGCGUCCUCGGGCCCAGGUUAGGGUUUGAACUGGUACUAAAUUUUGGAUCUGAAGUGGUACUAAAUUUUUGUGCCUCUGUCCACUAGAAAAGUAAACGCGUUUUUCUAGAAAUUCAUCUAUGGGCCGAGCGUCCUCAGGCCCAGUGAAGCCAGCUCACUUAUUAUCCUGCCUAUGCAACUUACAAAACCUUAUUUCCUGCUUGUGGCAGCAAAUAGACGAAACUUUGCACAGACGCCCAAGGCUAGGCUGGGCCGGCUCGUUUUCAUUUUUCUUAGUGUUCCGGUUCUAUUUUCUUUUUCUGUUUCUUUCUAUUUUCUAUCUUUUUAUUUUUAUUUUCCCUUUCCAAGUUUAUCUUGAAUUUUUACAAUUGUCCCGUCAACAAGAAAUUUAUAAAAAAAAUUAAGAAUUCACUUUUUCUUCAAAUAUUCAAAAAAUGUUCAUAAUUCCAAAAACUUUGUUCCCGUGUUUUUUAAAUAUGUUUGUCGUUUCCAAAAUUUCUCGACAUGUAUUAAAACAAAUUUCAUUUUAUAAAAUAUGACAUAUUCGAAAACUAUUCCUAUUUUAGUGAAAUGUUCACAAAUCAAAGAUAAUAUUUGCUUCUAGAAAACAUUUUCUGAAAUUGAUCUGAGUGUUCAAAAGAUGUUCCCUUUUUCAAAAUUUGUUCACAAAUUGAAAAAUAUUUGUGUUUUUAUAAAUUUUUCAUAUUUACAAAAGAAUUUUUGUGAAUUUCAAAAAAAAUCUGGUUUCUUAUUUUUUCGAUGUUUUCAAAAAUUAUACGGAGUUUUCAAAAAAUUAUUCACAUUUUUUAUAACAGUUAGGGAUUUCAAAAAUUGCCCAUAUUUCCAAGAAUAUUCGACACCUCAUAUUUCUUGAAAGUUCGAAAAAAAUCAGAAAAUGUGAGCACACACCACACGCUGCCAAGGGUAUUCGGCGGUUCACUUCCAGGGUGCUAUAGUAUUUUCUUAAAUAUUCGCGCUGGCCAUUGGUUAGCAGCACACAUUUGUUCUAUGUUGGUUGGCUAUAAAUGAAAAAAAUUAUGGGCAUGUGCUAAUUAAAGAGAAUAUGAUCUUUGGCUCUAAUUAGAAAAAAUGUGAGCAUGUGAGCCCUAAAAUAAUCAAAGAAAAGAAACCCUGAUAAAGAAGGAAAAUUCAUGCCUGAUUGUGGUAAUGAAACUGGAUUUAUGUGCUACAAUUACUAAUCCAUCCGGUUAUGCCAUCAUAGGAGAGAGUGGUCGAAGCAACCGUGUCCGGAAGGUCGCCGCGCAGCAAAAAAAAUGAGAAAGCCACAACCCCAUGAUGUAGGCGGACCCGGAGAAAAAAAGGCAUGAGUUGGAUACUCACCGCCACGCCGACCAACCCCACCACUGUAAGAUUUUGCGGCCAAACAUGACUCGCAAGAAGACGUAACUCCUUAUUCUGUCGCCCACCGUUGGGGAGACCGUUUUUGGUGGACACAUCAAUUAUCUUUCCAGUUGCUUCUUACAAAAAAAUAACUCUUCCACAGGCAUAUUUGUUAGUUUGUUAAUAACAAAAUGUUUGUGAUGAUUUUGCAAUUUUUAAGCUAAAGCCAAGUGACUACUAUUCCAGUCAUGAGCAAAGCGAUUAUGUUGUGAUAAAGUUAAUCGAUGGUCUAAUUUAUAAUAUUUAUUAAUUGUUUUAUAAUAUUUAUUUACGGUUCCAUAAUUUGUUUCUUUCUGUCAUAGAUCUAGCCAAUGAAAUGCAAGCUAAUAAUAAUAUGGUGGUCGAUGUCUUACAAACAAGACACGCGUACAUUGAAUGAAUCUACAUACACCAGCAACAAGUGCAGCCAGCUCUCACUAUCGAUGACUAGUCCAAGAUGAUGAUGGCCUCGUCGGCGGUGUCUCCUUUGGUGGCGAGAUCCUCGGGCUCCGGCAGGCCACCGCGUCGAAGCACCUGCACCUCCAGCACCACCUCCCUUUUGCCGCCAUCUCCAGCAUACCCGGACACCAGCUCGAACACACACGCAUCGCCGACCUGCAGCCGGUUGUGGACGGCGAAGUGCUCCCAGCCCUGGUCGAGCCUCUUCAGCUUGGUGUCACCGCAGUAGCUCAUGAUCCACGAGCUCCCGCGGCACCGGAGCACCACCGCCGCGCGCCUUGCCGGCAGCCGGCGCUGGAAGUGGGUCGGGAUGAUCUGCACGGUCCGGCGCAUGCAAGAAGCAGAGAAGAUCAGGGCAUGACCAAUUGAUUAUGAAGCUAACCGCCAUUGUUGCAGGCUUGCGGUGUCGUAUCAUACCAGCAGAUAAGGCUUCUGGACGUGGGUCUUGCACAUGAUGGCUGUGAAGAAGGACUGGUCGCCGGAGAGUGGAGUGGUCUCCUCAUCCUCGCCGGCGCACUGCUGCAUGACCUAUUUUUCCACAGAAAAAUUUAUGUUCUUAUGCAAAAACAGGGGAAAUCAAAAUAUAUGGAAGAAGGAAAUAAAAUCAACUGAGGAAAAUAUAAUUUGGGGUUCGGGGAAGCAGAACAACAUGAGUACCAGAGCAAAGCAGGCAAGGAAGAAGAAAACACUUCACUUGGAUGUUCUUCGGCCAAUGGCAGAUCUAGCAACUCCACUGCUAUCUCUGUGGAGCGGCCUUGCAGCCAACUUAAUGCCUCCUGAACUUUACCAACUUACCAUGGUAAAAAAAAAGCAAGAGAACCAACCAACCAGCAGUACUAUGGAAUUCAAGCAAUUAACUGACUUAGCACAUAUAUAGACAUAUAGAGUUAUUUUUCACUGCUCCCAACAUUGGCCAGAAUUCACAGCUCACUGCAUUUUGUAGCUAGCCUGUGAUGGAGCUGCCAAGGUGCAUCCAUCACUCCUAGAGUUAUUUUUCCUCUGCUCAAUCCAUGGGAGUUUCAGCACCCAUCAUUUAUAUUUUAGUUUGCCAAUUCAACAACUCAUCAGAGCUUCAUUAACACUGCAGUUUUUUUUUCUACAAGGUUAGGAUAAUGUAAGAUCAUGUAAAAAAAAUCCACUCCCACAGUUCUACAAAAUCACAUACAUUGGCUCCAAGUAAUUUCAUUUUUUUUCUUACAAGGUUAGAACAAUGUAAGAUUGUGUACGAAAUCCACCCCAACAAAAUAUUAUACAUGCAACAAUAUAUACCACAUGUUACAUUCACUUGCGGAAUGUUAGAUUGUUAGGAUUUCAGAGAUCAGAGAUGCCAUCGCUGCUCCCUGGAAAGGCGAAAGAGAAAUUGGAAAACAAAAUGGAGGUCUACAAAUUAGAGUUUGUCGCAAGCAAGUAAAAGAGAAGGACGCAGAACACUAGGUGGAACGCAAGAGUAACUGGCUACCAGUGUACAUAAAUCAACAUAUUCUCAAUGUUUAUCCAUUUAGUUCCAACUGCAUUAUAAGCAACUACCUCUGUAAACAAAUAUAAGACGUUUUAAUUCACUACUUUAGUGAUCUAAAACCAGUUUUAAUUCACUACUUUAGUGAUCUAAAACCAUUUUUAACAGAGGGUGCAUAUAAAAGAACAAAAAAAGAUCUAAUAAAAACCAUUCUUGUCUCUAUGAGCUCUACAAAUUAAAGUUUGUUAAUCCUGUAAAAGAGAAAAAUGCAAAAUAGUAGAUAAAAAAGAACUGAGUCCAAUGAAUAGUACUGUAGAAUUAUUGCAGUUAACUGAUUCGGCAUACAUAUGGCACAGCUGCUCACAAACAUGAGAGCCUUUACUUCUUACUCCAUUUGGAAAGUAUUCAGCUGCCAUGUGAUGAAGCUGCCAAGGUGCGUCCAUCAACCAUUGUACUGAAUCCAUGGGAGUUCCAGUGCCCAUCAUUUAUUCCAGUGUAACAAUACACCACCUUAUUAAGCCGAGCUUCACUAAGCUGCACAGUUUGUAAAAUUCUACAAAAUCCCAUACAAUGGCUCCGAGUAAUCGCCAAGAAUUUUUUACAUAGGGGUUACGAUAAUGUAAAAUCGUGUGUGAAACCCCCCAGGAAACAUUAUACAUCCAACAAUAUAUAUUCAGGCUCCCUCAGUUUGUGGACCCCAGAACAGCAUGGCGGAGUGUUCGGCGUUCAGAGAUCAGAGAUACAUUUGCCGCUGAUGAAGUCUACCACUUGCAUGACUGCCUGGUCAAGCGCCAUCGUCACGGAGAUCAGGUUUUGCAGAAACUCCUCGGCUGUUGGCUUCUCCCCAUCAACAAUGUCAGUCACAGCUUUG
rnacentral:lncRNA from 1 species